rnacentral:rRNA from 1 species
AGUGAACGCUGGCGGCGUGCCUAAUACAUGCAAGUCGAACGGAAUUUAAAAGAGCUUGCUCUUUUAAAUUUAGUAGCGCACGGGUGAGUAAUAUAUAGCUAAUCUGCCCCUUGCUGGAGGACAACAGUUAGAAAUGACUGCUAAUACUCCAUACUCCUUUUUACCAUAAGAUAAAUCGGGAAAGAAUUUCGGCAAGGGAUGAGACUAUAUCGUAUCAGCUAGUCGGUGGGGUAACGGCCUACCGAGGCUAUGACGCGUAACUGGUCUGAGAGGAUGAUCAGUCACAUUGGAACUGAGACACGGUCCAAACUCCUACGGGAGGCAGCAGUAGGGAAUAUUGCGCAAUGGGGGAAACCCUGACGCAGCAACGCCGCGUGGAGGAUGACACUUUUCGGAGCGUAAACUCCUUUUGUUAGGGAAGAAUAAGACGGUACC